rnacentral:misc_RNA from 1 species
GACCACCAUCGACUCUCCCCUCAUCCGAACCUGCCAUCCAAUUCAUGGCACUAGAACCUCCUCCAUUAUAUGGCACUGCAGCAGACUGUGAUGGGGAAGAGAAAAAGAAAGGCAGCUGAAGAUUCUCCUGCAGGGACCUCAGGCUGGGAAAAGCAGAGACACCCAUGUUUCUUGGGAACCGUCCAAACGGAUCAGUAGCCGGGAGGAGUGGUGGCGAAGCAAAUUCAAAGUUGUUCUGGUUAGCAGCGGCUGCAAUGGUGGAGAAACAGGACACGUGCUCAGUUUGAGCAUGGCUGUCAUAGGAGCAGCUGUUACGGUCGUUGAGAGUUGUCGUCGAGGCAGCAGUGGUGGCGGUGGUGGUGGUAGGGUCCAGGAGAGGUGGUAGCGAGACCGAAGAAGGGGAGCUGGCUUCUGGGUAGAGGUUGAUGGUGUUGUUAAAGCGGCCUUUCUUGGUGCUGCUACUGCUGCUGCUAGAGGUGGCGCCGCCACUCUUCUGGAACACUCGGGAGAUGACCCACUCAUCCUUGGAACUCCGGGAGAGAUAGUGGUAAGCAAAUUUGCCUUCAAGGCGAUACUCAUGCAUAACCCAAUUACUUUUCUCUCCUUUAGGGGCUCGACCUCUGUAGAACACCAAUGUCUUCUUCAUUCCCACGAGUGCACAAGUCUUUGAGCUG